rnacentral:rRNA from 1 species
CCCUUAGAUGUCCGGGGCCGCACGCGCGCUACACUGAAGGAAUCAGCGUGGCUUUCUCCCUGACCCGAAAGGGUUGGGAAACCCGUUGAAUCUCCUUCGUGAUAGGGAUUGGGGCUUGAAAUUGUUCCCCAUGAACGAGGAAUUCCCAGUAAGCGCGAGUCAUAAGCUCGCGUUGAUUACGUCCCUGCCCUUUGUACACACCGCCCGUCGCUCCUACCGAUUGAGUGCUCCGGUGAACAAUUUGGACUGCUUUGAUUCGAUUAGAAUUUGAAGCGGAAAGUUUAGUGAACCUUAUCACUUAGAGGAAGGAGAAGUCGUAACA